UACUAACCUAACAAAAAAAAAAAAAAGUUACUAACCUGUGCAUCUUAUGCGUGCACAGUAACAAUUAUUUAGUGUUAAUAAUAAACACAAUGUUGAACAAUAUUGUAGUGCACCUAUGUACAAGAUCUUUAGCGCAUUCUAACACUAGAAACUUCAAAAACUUUGGCCAUAAGAGACAGCCUAUACCUGGAGUAACAACGCUUUGGCAUGGAUUCUUAACUUUUACUUUUAUUGGACUUGGAGUCGAGUGGGAAAGAAUAGCAAAAUUUAUGCUAGGUGAUGAUGAUGUGAAAAUAUCAUGGGAUCCGGCAGACCCUGUUCCAAAGGAAUAAUAGGUAAACCUUAAAUUAUUAAGUUAUAAUUUGUACAAAGCCAUGUAUUUUAAAUGUAGUUAAACUGUGGUACAUUGUUGUAUAGUUCAUAAUGUAUUUUUAAAUAAAAAUUGUUCUUAGAAGGACACAACA